UACAGAGGUCUCAAGCGUUGUUCGGAUUCAUUGGGCGUAAAGGGUGCGUAGGCGGCGCGGUAAGUCGGGUGUGAAAUCUCGGAGCUUAACUCCGAAACUGCAUUCGAUACUGCCGUGAUUGAGGACUGGAGAGGAGACUGGAAUUUACGGUGUAGCGGUGAAAUGCGUAGAUAUCGUAAGGAAGACCAGUGGCGAAGGCGG
rnacentral:rRNA from 1 species